CGUUAGUAACAACAGGGAUUGCCUUAGUAGCGGCGAGUGAAGCGGCAAAAGCUCAAAUUUGAAAUCUGGCUCUUUCAGAGUCCGAGUUGUAAUUUGAAGAAGGUAUCUUUGGGCCUGGCUCUUGUCUAUGUUUCUUGGAACAGAACGUCACAGAGGGUGAGAAUCCCGUGCGAUGAGAUGACCCAGGUCCGUGUAAAGUUCCUUCGACGAGUCGAGUUGUUUGGGAAUGCAGCUCUAAGUGGGUGGUAAAUUCCAUCUAAAGCUAAAUAUUGGCGAGAGACCGAUAGCGAACAAGUACAGUGAUGGAAAGAUGAAAAGAACUUUGAAAAGAGAGUGAAAAAGUACGUGAAAUUGUUGAAAGGGAAGGGCUUGAGAUCAGACUUGGCAUUUUGCAUGUUGCUUCUUCGGGGGCGGCCUCUGCGGUUUGUCGGGCCAGCAUCAGUUUGGGCGGUAGGACAAUCGCGCGGGAAUGUGGCACGGCCUCGGCUGUGUGUUAUAGCCCGCGUGGAUACUGCCAGCCUAGACUGAGGACUGCGGUUUAUACCUAGGAUGUUGGCAC
rnacentral:rRNA from 1 species